rnacentral:lncRNA from 1 species
UUUCCAGUGGAUGCAAUAGUGCCGACCAUGUGCACAUGGGGUCAGGAUCUCAGGCCCGCCAGCUGGACUACAGCAAGUACCCAUGGUCUCAGGGAAAAGGUCCCCUGCUGCAGGCUGUGGGGGACCUCGGCUCUCACAGUGGCUAUGCCUGAGAAAGCCCCUCCAGACUCGCCAACCUGGCCCGCGCGUCCUGUCCGGAGGGCAGGGUGGGGCUGGUGCUGGUUACAGAUGAUCCUCAAGGGCACAGCACGCAAGCCACCAGGCGCCCCUCCUGCAGCUGGGUCAGAGAGAGGCACUGGGAGCCUGGCUCCCUCCAGGUCAGUCUCCACCAGGGCCACCCCGGUGACCUGCAGGAGAGGAAGGCAGACGAGGAGUGGCCCUGCCCCUUAGGGCGCAUCGUGCAGGUGGCACAAGGGGGUCAUCUGCAUCCUGGUCAAGGGGGAGCCCACCUGCCUCCUCCAGGUCGGGAACACUCCCUGGAGGCCAUGGUGUGGAGCGUCCACCCGGGCUUCGUCCUCCAGCUCAGCUGCUGGGCCCUGGGAAGGGACAGGCCCAGCACCCGUUCAGCCGGGCUGAGCCGCAGGCAGAGCGCCUUGCCUGGGAGAGACAAACCCACCGCUGAGGACACACCCUCAAGGUUCACCCUUCCCCACUUCUGUGUUGCCCUUAGCUCUAAGGUGCUAAUUCCAUCUCUAGUUUCAACAGGCUGAUUGCUCUUAAGGGAAAAUGGGGUUGCACAAUCCGGCUGUGGUGGCCGGGGCUCUUGGUCUCCCCCCAGUAAGAGGAUGGACUUUCCAGCCCUGCUGAUGGUCAGCGGGGACCACGUGGAGGCUUUGGCAGAUGAAAUGGGGCACAUGACAUAGCCCUGCCCCAGUGGAAGCCUCAGAGCCAUGGCUGGGCUCCACCAGGCUUGCUCCAGCGGCCAUGAGGACCAUGCCCCACAGGCAGGGGCUGCACCUCCACCCUGGUUCCAGAAGGAAGAGGCACAGCCGACAUGCCGCUCGAGCAGGAAACCCUGGGGAAGGUGGGACAUGAGAUCCUGUGUCUGAUACUACAGUGUAACCGGCUAGAAACUGACUCAAAGGGGCAUUUUUACAGCAGAAAGAGGCGAAGCACACGUGCAUCUGCCAUCCUGUGAUUGUCAGGCCCCGUUUAGGAGUGGACAGCUCCAUGGUUGUGUUUGAGCCCCACACCGGCCCUGGGGGGUUAUACUGCCCUGGAGGACAGCUGACCUCAGUUCUCCAAGCUUCCAUUCCCCCUUGUAUGGGCACAGCACCCCAACCUUCUUUUGGCAGCUCCCACGCCCCCCAGUGCUGGUGGGCUCUAGGGCUCUGGUCCCUGAUGCUCAGAGGCACAGAGACAGCAUUCCUCAGGGGCCCUGAUCCUCUGGCCCGGUUCAGACUGUGGUGGGGCCUCGGGACCUUUCCAGAACCUUGGAAGUGGGUAGCACCCUUUGCUGGGACAGACAUGCCUGGAGCUCCGGGCAUUGGGCCACUGCUGGGAUAAGCCCACGACAGAAUGAAGCCGGGCAGGCAGAAAGAGCUGCGGGCUCCCUGGCCACUCCUGUUUCCGUAAAGGGCCUGGUGUCUCAUUUCCUACUUACCUUGGACUUUAAGGGCCUCCUGCAGCCUUUGUCACACACUCUUCUUAUUUUUUUGUCCAUUACAACCUUUUACGGCGGCACAAGCCAUUGUUCUCAGGGCCAACGCGUGAGUCCUGUGGUGAGUUUCCUAUUAGUGUGGCUCGAGAAGGUACCCCGUGCUGACGAAGCCUGGAGAGGCAGGGCCACACUGCAGAGCCUCAGGCCAAGGGUGGCGGUGCUGGGGUCUCAUGAGCCCAGGGUUCACUGCCCACCAGGCGGCAUUAGCCUGCGGCUUUGGCGCCCAGAAGUCCCGACAGGCAGCAAAGUCUCCUGCUCCUGGCUGCUGGCCAGGAGAGCCCAGCUGGGCCUCACCUGAUCGAGAGGAAACGCCUGUGUCCUCUAAUCAGCAUCUCACUGACAGAGUCACCCCUGGUACAGCAAGUGGGCUUUCAAGGACAUCAGGUGGCUGCAUUCAGGCUGGUAACAACACCGCCCUCAGCUCUCACAGUCUGAGGAAGCCCCCUGAAAAGUCACUGGAGUGGGGCUGCAGGAACCCCACAAAGGCCUUUCCUGCUCCUGAAUAAUUCCCAAGCACCUAGGACUUCCCGGGCCUGGCUUCUCCGCCAGUCCAACCUCCGGACCUGAAGACCAAGCAGUGCCCAAGUGUGAGGUCCCUGGAGAAGGAGGAGGAAGAGUGGAAGGAGGUGGAGGGUAAUGCAUCCAGAGGAAGACGCUGAGGGUCAGGCUGGCCCUGGGUCUGACCUGUCCUUGGGGUCAACUGCUUCAUUAAAAAACAUCCGCCUAAACUGUGGAGACAGAGGAAGGAUCAGUGCUUGCCAAGGGCUGGGGGAGGAGGAACAGGCAGAGCGCAGAGGGUUUCAGGGCAGUGCCGCUCUGCGUGACGCCAUCACGGAGGGUCCAGGUCAUCACACGUCUCUCCAAACCCCUAGAAUGCCCAACACUCACUCUGAAGCCUUCUGUCAAUGUGGGAUCAUCUGUCGUAAAGUCUGCACCGCUGUGGUGGGGGCGUGGAUAGUGGGGGAGGCUGUGCGUGUGUGGGGGCAGGGAGUGUAUGGGAAAUCUCUGUACCUUCCGCUCAAUUUGGCUGCGAACCUAAACUGCUCUAAAAAAAGUCUAUUUUUAAAAAGCAUAUGCCCGAAAAGUCCUUGAAAAUGCAUCUUUCCCUAAAUAUUCAAAUUUAUGUUCAUUAAUAAAAUAGCACAUAUUUAUUCUA